rnacentral:lncRNA from 1 species
GACACCAAAAAGGGUCUAUUCUCCAGUGCGAAAAGAUAAACUAAUUGCUUUUCAGUGCGAGAGGGUAAACCAAUUCCCCGACACCCAAAAGGGUCUGCUCUCCAGUGCGAGAGGAUAAACUAAUUACUCUCCAGUGGGAGAGGGUAAACCGAUUCCCCGACACCGAUUCCCCGACACCCAAAAGGGUCUGCUCUCCAGUGCGAGAGGAUAAACUAAUUACUCUCCAGUGCGAGAGGGUAAACCAAUUCCCCGACACCCAUAUAGGUUUGCUCUCCAGUGCGAGAGGAUAAACUAAUUGCUCUCCAGUGCAAGAGGGUAAACUAAUUGCUCUCCAGUGCGAGAAGUUAAACUAAUUGCUCUCCAGUGCGAGAGGGUAAAUUAAAUCCCUGACACCCAUCUUGGUAAGCUCUCUAGUGCGAGAAGGCCACAUAGUUUAAAAGAUCGAAUGCUUGAAGAUCAACUAGGCAGCAAACGGUCAGGGGGCAGCAUCCACUUUUGCACUUAACAGUUCACUCAUCUGACACUUCAUCUUCAGCAGCUCCGAUCUUGGCAGCUUUAUACUUGACUGCUCCAUCUAUGACAGCUGAGAAAUCAAACUCAAGCAGUUUCCUCAUUUUUAGCAAGUAGCCCAUAUGUGGCACCCCAAACCGUUACCCAUGCCACGCCACUUUCUCGGCCCAUGUAGAGCCAAUCUUUAGCUUCAAUCAAGCCGAGCAGCAUAAGUAAUGGCCCAUGCCACAC